GUUUAUGUAGUUUAUAAAAACAUUACAUUUUCAAUGUAAAAAUAAAAGAAAUCUUUUCAUAAAUA
rnacentral:tRNA from 2 species